UAUAUAUGUAUUAUGGAAUCACUAUGCUGUGCAGCAGAAACUAAUACAAUGUUGUAAAUCAACUAUACUUCAAUAAAAAUGCAGGAAGUAAUAGUAUUGUGGUCUCUAAGAUGACAGAAGGAAAGACUUUCUCUUGUUUAAUUGAACUGAAUAAAAAUUACUGGUCUCAACAUACGUCUACAUUAGAAACUGUUAGAUUCACUUUUUUCUUAAGUACUGGAUGUAAAAUCUCCAUGAAAUGAAUAUUACUAGUUCAUAAAAGGAGUCUUAGAGAUUCUAAGAGAACAUUUAGAUGUAAUAUAAAGCAGCAGAGUUAGGUGUGUCUACUUUUUGAAAAUAUAUUUGUAUUGAAGUACAGUCAGUUUACAACGCUGUGUUCAUUUCUGGUGUGCAGCACAAUUCUUCAGUCAUAUGGGGCACACAUACGUUCAUUCUCAUAUUCUUCAGUGUAUCUACUUUUAUUUUAAAUGCAUCUUAGUGUGGGAGAAUCCACAACUUUGGAUUUCUACUUCAAGGUCUUAUUGACAAAAAGUUGUUUGUUUUUAGUAAUAUUUAUGUAAUGUACUGAUAAUGCUUCUGUCUCUUUAUUUAUUCUUAUCUUUCUUCUUAUUUUCUUCCCCCCCUAAGCCUGGAUUAUCCUCCUCUCCAAGCUGCAUUUUAGAAAUCUAGAUCCACCUGUAUUACAGACACCGACAACACCAGGCAGCCUGCUGAAAUAAAAGGGAAUGGUGCUGUAGAGGAUUCAGCUGAUCAAUGUGGGCAAGUUUCGGCCAUGGUAACCCUGAGUGACGGCUGAAGUCAUUCUCUGCGGCAGCCUCCCCGCCCCACCGUAUGCGGUUCUCUUCUCUCUGCCGCACUUUCUCUCUCCGGCCCACUCUAUUACUCUGUACAGCUUCUGUGUCUCCUCCUCUGCCGCCCUUUUCUCUUCCCUUUGUCUUUAUCUGGGGCUUGAUGACGACAAGCCCAAUAAAGCAUUGUUCAGCCCC